AUGCACAACAACAGCAGAGCUCAGACAGUGGAGCUGAACUUCAACUGUGAACACCACCGAGACCUGGAGGAGGCUGCUGGGAAAGUCUUCAUGAAGGCAAGGACUUCUCCCCGUCUUAAGGACACAGGUGGGACGGUCCAGGUGUCCCCCUCAGCAGACAUCCAGCAUGUUCGAUCGUACGGACGGAAGAAAGCGCAGAGCAAGAGUCAGCUGAAGAUUCUUCCUCUGUCGUCUCCGAGCAGUGAGGAAGACUCUUUUGUGUCCAAGGCUUUAGUCAGCGGAUCAGAGUUUCUGUUUGAUCAGAUUCAAUCCGAUCGACACUCAACUCCGACACACGACUCAGGGGUUCCUGCAGGGGCAGAGCUAGAGAUCUCUCAGGAGAAGGGGGAGAGGUCAGGGUCACACAUCUCUCUGUUCGUGAAGGAAGCCUUGAGUUGUGACGGGAAGAGAGCAGCUCCAGAUUCAGGGUACUUGUCAGACCAUAAUGAGGGCCCACGGGCCCAGAAGAGGAGGGCGGAGCCUCGUUCAGAAGAGGAGGAGACUGCGUCACUAGUAGCUGAAUCUUCAUGGAAGGGGGUGGGGCCACCAGAGGAGGGGCUAUUUGCUGCAGGGGCGGGGUCACCUGUUGAAGGGAAGAGGCCUGUGACAGAGUUGCAGGUGGAGUCAGACCCAACGUCUGGCAUCACAGCUGCCUUCAACAACUUCAAAACAGAACUCAACAAACACUUCACCGGCUGCUGGCAAAACGUUGAAGCUGAAAUUCUUCUGUCUUUAAAAGAGUGUCAACAGCACGUCUCUUCUCUCAUGACCGCUGUCCAGCACCACAGGUACCGCCCACUCCACACACCCCUCCAGGUACUGCCCACUCCACACACCCCUCCAGGUACCGCACACUCCACACACCCCUCCGUCAUCCCAGGUACCGCCCACUCCACACACCCCUCCAGGUACUGCCCACUCCACACACCCCUCCAGGUACCGCCCACUCCACACACCCCUCCGUCAUCCCAGGUACCGCCCACUCCACACACCCCUCAGUCAUCCCAGGUACCGCCCACUCCACACACCCCUCAGUCAUCCCAGGUACNNNNNNNNNNUGUUCGCCUCACACCUGUCAGUCACCACAGGUUCCGCCCACUUGUCCUUCACCAUAGGCACCGCCCACUCCGCACAAAUGUCUGUCACCACAGGCACCGCACACCUGUCAGUUGCCAGAGGUACCGCCCACUUGUCAGUCACCAUAGGUACCACCCACUCCGCAUUAAAUGUCCGUCACCACAGGCACCCCCCACUUAUCCGUCACCACAGGCACCGCCCACUCUGCACACCUGUCCGUCACCACAGGUUGAGCCCACUUUAUUUCUACUUGCGUGUGUGUGUGCAGGUCAAAGUUGCUGCAGAGGUUUGAGAACAGCGUCAGUGAUCAGCUGA
ensembl:lncRNA